GAACGGGUGAGUAACACGUGAGUAACCUGCCCCUGACUUCGGGAUAAGCGCUGGAAACGGCGUCUAAUACCGGAUAUGAGCCGUCCUCGCAUGGGGGUGGUUGGAAAGUUUUUCGGUCAGGGAUGGGCUCGCGGCCUAUCAGCUUGUUGGUGGGGUGAUGGCCUACCAAGGCGACGACGGGUAGCCGGCCUGAGAGGGCGACCGGCCACACUGGGACUGAGACACGGCCCAGACUCCUACGGGAGGCAGCAGUGGGGAAUAUUGCACAAUGGGCGAAAGCCUGAUGCAGCGACGCCGCGUGAGGGAUGACGGCCUUCGGGUUGUAAACCUCUUUCAGCAGGGAAGAAGCGCAAGUGACGGUACCUGCAGAAGAAGCGCCGGCUAACUACGUGCCAGCAGCCGCGGUAAUACGUAGGGCGCAAGCGUUGUCCGGAAUUAUUGGGCGUAAAGAGCUCGUAGGCGGUUUGUCGCGUCUGGUGUGAAAACUCGAGGCUCAACCUCGAGCUUGCAUCGGGUACGGGCAGACUAGAGUGCGGUAGGGGAGACUGGAAUUCCUGGUGUAGCGGUGGAAUGCGCAGAUAUCAGGAGGAACACCGAUGGCGAAGGCAGGUCUCUGGGCCGCAACUGACGCUGAGGAGCGAAAGCAUGGGGAGCGAACAGGAUUAGAUACCCUGGUAGUCC
rnacentral:rRNA from 1 species